UACGGAGGGUGCGAGCGUUGUCCGGAAUCAUUGGGCGUAAAGGGCGCGUAGGUGGCGGGACAAGCGUGCGGUGAAAGCCUGGGGCUCAACCCCGGGUCGGCCGUGCGAACUGUUUUGCUUGAGCACUGUAGAGGCAGGCGGAAUUCCGGGUGUAGCGGUGGAAUGCGUAGAGAUCCGGAAGAACACCGGUGGCGAAGGCGGCCUGCUGGGCAGUAGCUGACACUGAGGCGCGACAGCGUGGGGAGCAAACGGG
rnacentral:rRNA from 1 species